AAGUCCCGUAACGAGCGCAACCCCUGUCUCUAGUUGCCACCGGGUCAAGCCGGGCACUCUAGAGAGACUGCCCAGGAGAACGGGGAGGAAGGUGGGGAUGACGUCAAGUCCUCAUGGCCCUUACGGGCUGGGCUACACACGUGCUACAAUGGUGGUGACAGUGGGCAGCGAGACAGCGAUGUCGAGCUAAUCUCCAAAAGCCAUCUCAGUUCGGAUUGCACUCUGCAACUCGAGUGCAUGAAGUUGGAAUCGCUAGUAAUCGCAGAUCAGCAUGCUGCGGUGAAUACGUUCCCGGGCCUUGUACACACCGCCCGU
rnacentral:rRNA from 1 species